CAGGAGUGCUGUAAAUGUUCUGCUUGGCUAAAGGCUUUUAGCUUUUAUUUCCCAGUGCUAGUAGAGCUUUAAAAAUACUUUUCUUUCAUAAUGAGCUUUUUAGGUGGGAAGGAAGUUGGCUGCCUUAGUCCGUUCUGUGCUGCUAUAAGAGAAUACCUGAGACUGGGUAAUUUAUAAAGCAUAUACACUUAUUCUUCACAGUUCUGGAGGCUGGAAAGUCCAAGAUCAGGCACUGGCAGGUUGGGUGUCUGGCGAGGGCUGCUGUCUGUUUCCAGGAUGGCACCUUGACCGUGACAUCCUCUGGAGGGGAGGAGCACUCUUUGUUGCAUGGCAGAAGAGCUGAAAAAAGCUAAACACUCCUGCCUGCCCUGUUAUGAUGCCACAGGCCCAUGCCUGAGUGGAGCCCUCACCACCUACACACCUCCCAUCUGGCCCCACCUCCCAAAGACUGUUGCACUGGGGAGUAAAUUUCAACAUGAGUUUUGGAGGGGACAAAACAUUCAAUCCACAGUAGUGGCUGCGCAUGUUCAGAUUAUCAAGUUCAGUCUUCUCUGGAGCUGACAUUCUGCGAGAGAGGAUAAACAUGUUGCACUUUUCUGAGGUGAAUACUUGGUUGGCAAUGUGUGUGCUGAACCAGCAACUUCAAAAUUCCUGUUUACCAUAAAACACGGUGUAUAAUUUUACAGGAAAUAUAUUUUAUACCACAAUCCAGUGCUUCCGUUGCCACACAUACAACAGAAGUAAAAUCAUCAUGGAAGAGGAUUUACCUUUGCUCCAUGCAGUACAUUCUGAUGUUUUCCCAUCACUUCUCCUCCACAUCCUAUCCCAACUUGACCUCUCGUCUUCUGUUUAUUCUAUUUUAAAAUAUGAGUUACAACCCAUUAUAUUGAAUUUACAACUCACUAAUGUGUCAGGUUCUGCAAGAUGAAAAAAAGACAUAACUCUCUGAGAAUAUAGCCCCCCAGUGAAGAGGGAAAGGUGGUUUGUCUAAGGCCCCAUGCCUUAGCUUGGAGACCUGUUGAAGCCCUCGCUCCCUGUCUCCUAUCUGCUUUCUGUCCCUGCAGCCUCCUUGCUUCCUCAAAUGUGCAUCCCCUUUGCCACCCGGCCCCACCGCCCAAGCUCUGUAGAUCAAAUGAGGGCCUCUUCUUUUGCAGGUCAAUAACAAGUUUCAAAAAGAGCUUGGAUGUUUUUUCUCCCUAAUGUUGAUUUUUUAGAAUGAGGAGGUUGAAUUUCAUUUAGGGGCGGCAGGACCCAGGAGAACCACCUCUGAGCCCGAGGCUAAUUGAUAUUAGUUGAAGUGGAUCUGUAGAAAAUAACACUCAUGAUGAUAACAGGAAAUAGUAACCAAAGCUCAUGAUGUGUCCGGUAGGGCAUCUUCAUGACAAUUAUUUCAGUAAUAAACCCACUCAGGGUAGAAAGCCUGAGACACAGGGGAACUAAUGGGGUUGAGAAUGCAAGAUCACUGUAAGGUCCUUAAAGCCAAGUGUGGUAAACUCAAGCUCAGCUUCAUUUUUUAAAACUUAAGAUGUUAACAUAGAGCAUUUUAAUGUUUUAUUCUUCCUGUCUUCCUCAGAAGGGAACAUACAAUGAAUAACUGAGAGCCAUUUGAAGUUUGCAUAUUGCUCCUGCUAUUUCUUGGCCUUCCUCACUGCUCGACCUACCUCACCACUGGCCCCUGAUCCCUGAGUCUUCCCGUCACGUUCCAGACUACCUUCCUCCCAGUGUCUCCCCUCUGCACUGUCUUCAUUCCCUCCAGUCUCUGUGUGCAUGCACAGAGGGUUAGAGUGAGGAGUAGUUAUAUUUUUUGAAAAUUUAAACUGGAAUUCCAAUGUUUGUAAAUCCAGGGCCAGUUGUAUCCUUAAGAUUAGGUGAAGUAAUGACAGGAGGGAAAUGCUACACUGCCAUGCAGCUCUGCCUCUCCCUGGCCUGUGAUUUUGAGCAAGUCAUUCCCACAUUCUAAGCCUUCCAUGAUUUCUUCCUGUACCAAUAUGGGUACAAAAUUAGGUAGGUGGGAGCAUCUAGCUCAGGGUCUGAUAUACAGUGAAUAUGAAAUUUACAUAAUUAUCCCCUUGGUCCUGCAGCCCGCAGGCUUCAGAGGCGCCUGUCACCCAGGCUGUGUGGUAUCGUGCUAUUUCUCUAGAGGACCAUCUUCUGUGUUGCUCUCACCCGACUGCCCUGGUGCAGUCCUCCACUGAGGAGGGCCCACAUCAGCAGCAGAGUUGCGGCAGGGGCACUUUGCCCUCACAGUGUAAUACACCAACUGUUUAGUAGUGAUUUUUGCAUUUUUAACAUUCUUUUUUUCAGGCUCUAUAUCAUGGAGAACCUUGAGUUUUGGGCUCCAAAGUCAAAUAGGGAAGCUAUGCUUCAUGGAUUGAAAACAAAAAUGGCUAGGAUGCUGCUUGGGAGCAUAGCUCCAGGCUGAGCCACACCAGAGCUGUCCUGUCCCCUCUGCAAGAGCCCAAGCUCAUGUGUCAUCAUGAUCCUCUGGAGUCAGGAGUCAUCCAGCUCCAGCCCCAGACCAAACAGAUGGAGAUGGAUAUAAGCAAGACUGCAGGGUAAGAUGCUGAGGUUCAGGAAAGGUCAAACCUCGCUAGACGAAUGCUCGGCUCCUCCAGUGUUUAUUUACUUUUACAGCAUUGGCGGCACUUGAUGAGGGGACCAAGACAGGCAGCAGCUGGUUGGGGCUUUUCCUGCCUUUUCCUCUGCUCUAACCAGGACACUCAGCCCUAUUUCCAAUUCCUCAUAAGGAGAAGGAUGUUUUUUGGCCAAAAAGACCUUUUAUACCAGAAUAAAAUAGAGUCAUGUCUUUAAACAGAAGGAAAAAUCAUGUUGCAACUAAGAUUAACUACAUUUUUAAGAUUUCUUACAUAGAUGGACAGCAUAAACUUAUCUGAUAAUUUUACUUUCUUUACCUUCAAGAUUUAGAUUUUAAAAAGCCCUUUUAUACGAAUGAUCAGUCCUCUGACUUAGCCCACUCUUCUCGUGUAUCUCCUACGUGCCGGACCCCAGGCUGCAGGCAGGAGAUUCAAUGUCUCUCUCCUUAAGUAGCUCCAAUGAUGGCAUGUAAGACAGACGUAGCAGAUAGUGCUGCAUUUGAAAGGGAUGAUAUGUCUAAAACACAAAACUACCAACUGCCCAGGGUUUGGGGAAGCUCCCAAAUAGGACUCAAGGACUGAGUUUCAAAGAACAGUAGGCAUUAGAUAAGUGAGGAAAGAGGAAGAGGUGAGGAUAUUAGAAGAAGGGCAGGUACAAAUGCACAAGGAUUUGAGACCAUGGAGUAAGGCAGGUUCAGGGAUGUUCGGGACUCUGGUAUCCAAGGAACACACAGUACAUUUGGAGAGGAUUUCCAUGCCAAGAAGCAUCAUAAAUAUUGACUAUCAUGCCAAAGAACUUGAAGUUUAUCCUGAGGGUGAUGGAAGAUCUAGCUGUAGAAUUUGUAGAAUUUCAAAUAGGCCAAUGCAUUUUAGGACAUGCAUUUUAUGAAGGAGGAGCAUUCAUAUUGCAGUAUCGACCAAAAAACAAGACGUGCUUGAACUAGGGUGAAGGUAGAAAGAAAAUAGGGAAAGGGCAAAUUUGAGAGAUCCUGAGAGUGCUACAUUGACUCAACUCAAUGGAAGGCUGAUUGGGUCAGGCAGUGAUCCUGUCUAGAUCCCUGGUUCAUGGUCUGUUGCACAGUGAAGUGCUUGGAGAACAAGGACAGUUUUGUCAACCCUUGGGGUCCUUGUUCCAUCAUAAUGCUUGGCUCACAGUUGGAACUUAGAAUUUGUUGCAGGGAUCAAGGAAUAUCAGCUGCAGAAAAUAUACGAAGAUCAGGUGGCUAUUUUGAACAUUUUCAUAUCUUGAGGGGAUGAACCAGAAGCAAGGAAGUAACUGUUGACAAAGUGAGACGGUAAGAUUGAGGAACAUUUCCAAGGCCCUGCAGCUGGUAAUCAUAGAAGGAGAAGAUUCAAUUGUAUGUCCUUUGGCUUCAAAUCCAGCAAUCCAGUGAACUUUCAGAAACUAAAAAAAGUGUUAGGGUAGUGUGCGUGUGUGUGUGUGUGUGUGUGUGUGUGUGCUUGUGUGCAUAUUAGAUGCAUUGUCAAUAAUUCAUAAUAAACCAUUUUUUAUGGGGCUUACAUUUAUAAAUUUAUCUUUGAAUCCAUCCUUCGUGUUUGUAUUUAUGCUCAAAUUAGUUUUUUAAAUCAAUGCUCUCAUCAGGCCCAUCCUUGGCCUAAAAACCAUGAAUUGUUUCCCAUGGCCUGAAGAAGGAAGCCCAUAUGAUACAAUGUGGCCAACAGGGCUCUUUGUGAUCUGGUUCUUAACUGACUCUUUCACCCUCACAUUCCAAUGAUUCAUGCAACCCUUCUGAGAAUUAGAAAAGGCACUUUUUCCUCAAGAUAUUGUACUACCUUUUGACAGAAAACUGUAAUAAGUUGAUUUAAAAAAAUAGAUUUGUUGAGACAUAAUUUACUUGCCAAAAAAUUCACCCAUUUUGUACAUCCAAGUGUACAAUGUGAUGAUUUUAGUGAAUUUAUGGAGUUGUGCAACCAUCAGAACAAUCUAAACACGAGUGUUUUACAGUACUUCUGAUACCUUACAAAUAAACCCUGUGCUUGGUGGCAGUAUAUCUCUAUUCACCUUUUCUUGUCAUUUGUUGUAAAAAGAAUUAUAUAACAUGUGGUUUUGUGUUUGACAUCUAGCAAAAUGUUUUAGAGGAUCAUCCAUAUUGUUACAUGCAUCAGUAACCCAUUUCUAUUUUGUUGUUAAAUAGUAUUCCAUUACAUUUCAUUGAAUGUAUAUACCUUAUCUUAUUUUGUUUAUCUAUUCACCAGUUAAUGGACAUUUGGAUUGUUUCCCUUUUUAGCUAUUAUGACUAACGCUACUCUGAUUGUUUGCAUACAAGUUUUGUGUGUUCAUGUUUUCAUUUCUUUUUGGUGUGGAGUACAAUUGCUAGAUCCUAAAUUUAUGUUUAAUGUUUAAAAAAAAUUGUAAACUCUUUUUCCUUGUGGUUGCACCAUUUUUUAUUCCCACCAGCAAUGUUUAAGAGCUUCAGUUUCUCUAUAUCCUCACUAAUACUUGUCAUAAUCCAUCUUUUUAAUUAUAGCCAUCCUAAUGGGUGUGUAGUGAUAUAUCAUUGUGAUUUUGAUUUGCAUUUUCCGAAAGCUAAUGAUGUUGAACAUCAUGUUCUAUUGAUCUGUGUUAAAUCUGCUACCAAUACCACACUGUCUUGAUUAUGUAAUGGUAUGAUAAACCUUAAUAUCAGGAAGAAAGCUUCCUUCACUUUAUUAUUCUUUGUCAAGAUUAUUUUUACUUUCAGGGUCUGUACCUGUUCAUAUACAGUUUUGUUUUUUUUUUUAGCCAGAGUCUUACUCUGUCGCCAGGCUGGAGUGCAGUGGCACGAUCUUGGCUCCCUGCAACCUCUACCUCUCUGGUUAAAGAGAUUCUCCUGCCUUAGCCUCCCAAGUAGCUGGGACUACAGGAGUGCGCCACCAUGCCCAGCUAAUUUUUGUGUUUUUAGUAGAGAUGGGGUUUCACCAUGUUGGUCAGGAUGGUCUUGAUCUCUUGAAUUUGUGAUCCACCUGCCUCGGCCUCCAAAAGUGCUGGGAUUACAGGUGUGAGCCACCGUGCCUGGCCCAUAUACAUUUUAGAAUAAACUUGUCUAUAUGUAUAAAACACUUUGCAAAGAUUUUAAUAGAAAUUGCAUUAAGACUGUAAGCUGAUUUGGGGGGAAUUUUCAUCGUUACUAUACUGAAUUUUCCAAUCCAUGAACAUGGUAUGGUCUUCAUUCAUUUAGGUUUUUUUUGAUUUAUUUCAUCAGCAUUUUGUAGUUUUCAACAUACUAGUCCUGUACAUGUUUGCUAGGUUUACACCUAAGUAUUUCCUUUUUCUUAGCAUUUAUAAAUUGCAUUUUUAUUUCUGUUUCUAUGUGUUUUGUGGAUUUGCACCAUUAUUCAUUCUGUUUUUUGUAUACUCAAAGAUGGGCAUCUUAGUGGGGAGGAGGAGCUGUAAGGAGGCCUGUGCUAAGAGUGGGAAUAUGUGGACUCAGGUCUUGCCUUUCCCUCCUCCUGGCUGGAUCCUGGGCAAGGCACUGAGUCUAAGGUGGGGAUUAAUAUUUACCUCAGCGGAACCAGAACAACUCAAAUUCUAUUUGACAUGUAACUAAUUAUUGGUGCUUCCAUCCUCCUUGGCAGACUUCCUUCCACUUUGAAAUAGAAAUCCACGUGUUCAUCAUAGUGCUUUGAUAUGCCAUUUUAUAAAUGAAAGACAAAGCCCAUAGGGCCUGGUUUAAAAGGAGAAAGCAAAAUAAAAUUAUCUAUAUCUUGACCUGCAUAAUAAAUAAAUACAGAUUUGGAGGUAGACAGUAAUGAAAUGAGGGAUAGAAGAGGAUUAAGCACCAUAGAAGCCCAAGAGACAUUCCAUUCUUGAUGUGAGGAAAGGAACAAAAAAUAGAGGGAUAUCUAGUACUCAGGUUUAAGUGUGUGUGCUUAUUCUCUCCCUCUCUCUCUUUCUGUAUCUCUCUCCCUCUCUUUCUGUCUUUCCCCCUCUCUUUUUCUUGGUGGGCAAAAGAGAAGUGCCACCACCUGCGAGACAAAAGUAGGUAAAACUCCAGUUUUUUAAAAAAUGAAAUUGGAACUAAAUAACAUAAACAACUAAGAAGUGGCAAAAAUCUUAGAAAACGCACAGAAAUCAUACCAACUUACUGUAACUCAUCUAGGACAGAUGACAUGACGUUAAUUGGCAUCUAUGUUUUCUAAGAAAUACAUGAGAAGUGUAGAUGGAAGUGCUCACCUCCACACUUCCUGUUGUGGUGUUGACAUUCAAGGCAGCCUAAAAGUAUAACCCAAUCAUGAGCUGGGUGAUGAGGGCCAGGAGACAAACACUUUGUGACUCAGUUUCCUUAUCUGUAAUACAGAAAAACAUAUACAUCAACUUCACAGGAAUGUGUUGAGAAAUAAAUUAGCACAGUGCCUCACACAUAGUACACAUUUAAAAACUCUUAGCUACAGCUUAUAUUAAAAUUAGAUUCAAGUAUCAGGGACAUAGAUUAUUCUGUUGGGCAUCUUCCAAUUCAUAGAGGAAUGCCUGGCACAUAGCAGGAGCGAGGAAGUGUUCAGAGAAUGGCUUGAAUGAAUUAAUGUGGUCAAUUCCUGCAGUACAUUAAACCCUCAUUAUCUUUGUGGAAUGACUAAAUUCUAUCAUUCUAAGUAGGCAAUUAAGCUGAAUUCUAUAAAUAUUCAUUUAAAAUGUCAAUGGCUGUUUAUACGAGGCAGCCAAAACCCUCUGAAAAUACAGACCUGAGUGAUGAAGAUGGUAAACAUGCUCAGGACUAUCUCAAAUUACCUGCAGAAUAUUGUCCUUAAAAUAGGCUUCUCCCACACUAAACUGCCCUUUCCUUUACACAACCUACCCUGUAUAAAGGUUCCAACAGAAGACACAUUUAAAACAUUGCAGUUAAUUUUAGCCAGACAUCAAUUCUAUUUAAGGGAGACUUUCAUAUGCAUCUUAUUAUUGCCUCUUUGCUGACCAAAUCUUAUUGUCAAAGAUCCCUAUAAUAUAAUCACUUAUAAACAGACUGAAAAAGUGAAGCAAAGUAGCCUGCAAACCCUGAGAUAAGUAAAGUUGCCUAACACAUGCCCUGUCUUUGACAUUUGUUAUUUAGAAGUUCUUUUAAUGGUCAAAAUAUUUGCUUUUCCUUCAGACGCCUUCCAGGAGAGUUUAUCUUAACACACAGAGACUAGCUGGGAUUUUUAAGUGGAGCAAAGAUUAGAGUCAUACAAAGUUGCCUCUGUCUUUUCUCAAACAAUUUUUUGUGUGUGUGUGGGGGAGGGCAUACAAAGCAGCUGUAAUAUCAUUGCAAGAGGCCUGAUCACAGAGCAUAGGAAAUAAAAUGUGGGCUUCAGGUGGCUGUUAGCAAGUCCUUCACCCACGCUGGGCCUUGGUGACUCCCCAGGGGAACCAGAGAGCCUCUGACUUCCCUGUGUCUUGAAGUGCCAGGAGUGUAGAGAGGAGAGAAUGAGGACUGAAAUUUGGCAACUGCUUAUGGUGUGCAAGCCCUCAGCAAAUGUUCAUCAUGUAGUUCUUCAAUUUAAUUUUUAGAGCGCCCUUGUGAAGUAGGUUCUAAUAGAAUGUCCACUUUACAGAUGAGGAGAGAGAUCAGAGGUGCAUUGGUGGUCAACAGGCCUGGAAUCAGCCACAUUAGCACACAGCCAGUGAUUGGGAAGCCAACACCAGAUAGGAAAAAAUUCAAGGAAAAUUGUUCUAUCCUCUCAGAUUCAGUUUUUAAUUAAAGUAAAAUGACCAUAAAAUGCAGGAGCUGCAAUCUGAAUCUCUAAGUGGCUAAGCAUUAUGCCGUUGACAAAUUAACCUGGUUUUUCAUGUUUGAAAAUGAACUUGAGUGAUGCCUUUUUACUUUCCUACAAUAUGAUGCCAAUUAUCACUCUGCCCAAAUAAUAGAAUCUACCAGUUUCCAUUAAAAUGCACUAAUUCAGACUGUUUAUUUUUUUAAGUCUUAAUUGAAGAAAUAGCUCACCUACAGUCAAAUCUUCCUUUCUUCAAGAAGACUAGUUGAAGAAGCUGCCUUUGGGUGAAUCCGUCACAUCUGGCAGUAUUCAUUCUUCAGGCAGAAGAAAGGACAUUGCAUGCUUACCUUAUUCUUCAGAGCCUGAAGUCCUCUAGUACUUUCCCCAAAGCUGCCCAGGUCAGGCUGUUAGAUCACUGAGUAUGGAGUCAGGAAGUUAGGGGCUCCACAGAUCUCAGAGUCAGGGUUCCAAGAUCCUGCCCAUGCUCCAAGCCCAGUAUCCUGCCAACAUCCAACAUUUGCAUGUAGUAAGGCAGCCCUCUGUGGGGAUCAAAGCCAGUUUCUCAUCGGCCGCAAGCCCACUGCAGGUGGUUUCCUGAUCAGCAAGGCGAGUUAACUCUCUCAGGACGUGAGGGCACUUUUGGUCCAUGGCAGUCAUAGAACUAAAAAGAAAAUCUAAACUUUUAAUUUGCCGAUUAAAAAUAGGAGAAAAUAUUUAUGAGACUUUGUCUAUGUCUUCAGAUAAGUUUUAAAAUUGCGUGACCUCUCAAAUCAAAUGCUCAGUUUAAAUGUGAGAGGGAAGACAAGUGCUGGACUGAGAGUAGAAACAUCGCGGUCUGCCACUUGACUUAUAGAUCCACGUGCGUUACCCAUGCUGGGCCUCGGUGACACCCCAGGGGAAUCAGGGAGCCUGUGACUUCCCUGUGUCUGCAAGUGUCAGGGGUGGUGGAGAAGAGAGGAUGAGGCAGCCCCCGACACAGCAGCCCCUCCACAGCACUGAGUGUCAGGAGCGGCUGGUGUGCCAUACCACAGAAUAUGCUUCCCAUGAGCUAUCAAGGAAAACACUUGGGGGAGCAUAAAAUAUCAAACUAGACUUUAGUAUCAUUUUUAUUGGAUUUUAAGUGAAACAGAACCAAAAGAACAAAAUAAAAAAUUACCAAAUUUUUACAAAUCUUUCAAUGAAGAUAUGUCCAUUUCAUGUACUUUAUGAUGCCUGGCUUCAUAACAAAACUAAAAAUAGGAACACACAGCAAGGCCCAGGAUCCCCCCGGUAAAGAUCAGGCUCUUUACCGGGGAGAUCUUGGGCCUCAUUGUGGGUCCCUGCAUGGCCCAGGUAAAGGUCAGGCUCUUGGCCAGGUGCAGUGGCUCAUGCCUGUAAUCCCAGCACUUUGGGAGGCCGAGGUGGGCAGAUCACCUGAGGUCAGGAGUUUGAGACCAGCCUGGCCAACAUGGCAAAACCCUAUCUCUGCUAAAAAUACAAAAAAUUAGCUGGGCGUGGUGGGGCAUGUCUGUAAUCCUAGCUACUAGGGAGGCUGAGGCAGGACAAUUGCUUUAACUGAGGAGGCGGAGGUUGCAGUGAGCCGAGAUUGCACCAUUGCACUGCAGACUGGGUGACAAGAGUGAAACUCCACCUUAAAAAAAAAAAAAAAAAAAAGAUCAGGCUCUUUCUGGACUUAUGAUUUAGGCAUCACGAAGCAACCUCUGGGCCCACAUGUCUACCCAUAACCACAAUUGGAAGAGGGUUUAAUUUAAGACUUAAUGAAGACAAGAGAAAUAGAAAGAAAGAAAGGAAGAAAGGAAGGAAGAAAAAAAGAAGAAAGAGAAAGAAGAAAGAUGAAAGAAAGAAAGAAAGAAAGAAAAGAAUGACCUCAGUGGAACCCCAUGAUCUUGAGUCUUAAAUGUUUAUCUGCACAAUAUGGUCAGCCCAGGCUGAAUCAAUGAACACCUCAUGAUAAGAAGAGGACCUCGAUACCCUGGCCCUCCUUGAGGCCCUGUGGGAGCCCUUUUCCUGUGUGAACCAGAGAUCAGCUUCUGUUGUGGUCCAGGUAUGCGCCUGACAACCCCAAGCUUGUGCAAUAAUUCUGAGAUGCUAUUAGCUUCUUAUAUCUGGGAAACAUCAACAGUUGCUACAGUAAUUCAAAUGUGGACAAAUUGUCAAUAAUAAGAGGGUGGUACCUGCUCUCAGUCACUUCUCAUUUAAUGCCUGCCAUAUGUUUUUGGCUAAAAGGAAAAGCUUUCCAAUCGUGGGAGAUGCCUACUUGCCUCUUGGGGCUCAGAGGCACUGGCUUGGCUUCUGUUCUUGCUGCUGCUCUUGGUGGUGUACUGAUGCUACGGCAGUGACAUCUGCUACUGCUGCCUUCUGCCACGUGCGGCUGUGAGAGUCUGCAUCUGAUGUGCUCUAUGCUGAAUGAGGAUGCUCAAUGCAUUCCAUUUCCUUUCCCUCAAUGCUCUAUUAUAGUGAUAGAUGUAUAUACAAUACACCUAUGUAUUAUAAACCCAACAAUACCAUGUAAUAAUCAUUAGGAAUAUUUUAAGCAAUCUUAUGCUUUCUAAAGCACAUACUUAUGAAGAGAAAAACAUCUACACAUUUUUUCAGUCCGUUGGAUGUACCUGCAUAACUCCUGAUGGUGCUCUUCUUCUCUUUGUGGUUUGGACUGCUGUCUUUCUGGGGUCCUUUCCUUUUCACUUGAAGGACUUCAUUUAGUGUUCCUUCUAGAUGGGUCUGCUAUCUCUGAGCUCUCUCUGUCAUGGUUUGUCUGGGGAUGACUAUAAUUUUCUACUAUGAACAGUGUUGAAAAUAACUAGUGCUUCUACCUCCUCAUGUCUUGGCUCCCUUCCUUUUAUUCUCAGUGAAUGCCACAAGGCAUCUGAGAGCCAGUUUGACCUUCCCGGAGCCCUCCCAUGAGCCCCCCGUUUAUGAGAGUUGCUAGAGCUCAGAGCACUCUGUACUCUCCUCUCCAUUUUCACGAUCAUUCAGUGCUAGUCAAUUUUGUUUUAAUCUAGACUUUCUUGUCCGCCACUUUCCCUGGUGGGCUCCACUGGGCUCCUACUCCCAGAGGCCUUGGCUCAGUGUCUUCUGGCAUUGUCCUGAGUGUCACUGAUUUGUGAGAUUGCAGGAUUCACAGGCAGGGACUGCAGUAGCCCAUCUGAAUGGUAGGGACGUCUCUCAUUUCACCCACAUAUCCGAGCAGGGAACCUCAUUCCUUUGGACUGCUCUUGGCAGGCCUGCACCCCGUUUCUCCAAAGAGAAACUGAUAGAUGGUGGGUUCUCUGCUUCCCAGGCCCUUCAAGAACGCCCUCUCCUCUCUUGUUUCCCUGGCUCAGGGCUCUGCUAUGUUGGACAGUGUCCUCUCCUGCUUCUGUGUCAGGGCUUAUCUGUUUUGCUGGGCACAUAGUCUGUGGUUUUUAGGUUUGCUGUCGAGUCCCACUGGAUGUGUUCUUAGGGGGCCUCCAGGACAUCCAAGAACUUGUCAUUGCUGCUGUUUCCUGUGAUUCUGAUCUGUCCCCAAAAUGUUUUCAGUUCUUAUCUUUGUAUUUUUAUCUAUAUAAUCAAAUAUACAGAUAAAUUGUUUUAUUUUUUUCCAGUCAAACAUUGAUAUUUAAUGUCCCACUAUAUGACAAUAACUUCCUCAACAGUGUUGAAUCAUCAUGGUGGCAUUGGGCAUGUCUCUCUUUCUCUCAUAUUCUUCACAUUAGUGGGAAUCAUCUAAUGUUUCCAAGUUAAGAGCAACAGCUUUGAAAUGGGUAUUCUUCUUUGUGUUAGGCAAAAUGUCAUUUUGUUCCUAGUCUUGAUGUUUGAAUUCUAUUUACUAUUAAUUUAGCAUCUCAAUCACUAUUUUGUGAGACUGGUUCUACAGGUUUUCCUUUCUGGUCUACAUUGGUUAUAGUUUGAUAUCAGGGUUAAGUUUGCUUGGAAAAAUAAGUGUUUUUUGAUGUUCUAUUAUAUUAUGGAAGAGUUUUUAUGUUUUUAAAAAAUAUAGGUGAAUUUAAUGUUUUGAACUCCUAGUGACUAAAAUCACUUUGGAGACUAGAAAUUUCUUCUUGGUCCCCCUUCUUAGUUUCGAUUAUUAUUUCUUCUAGGUCUUUGAGAAUCAUAUAAUUGCAAAUUAUAAAGCUAUUUAGAAUAAUGAGGAAGCACAAGCAUUAUUUCUAUACCCAUAGGGAAUUUAAGCUAAUUCAUAGCCCUGCAAUGCAAGUAUCUGCUUAUGUUACAGAUGAGAAAACUGAGGCUGAGAGAGCUUUAAUGGCUUGCUCAUUAAUGACUUGUUCAUAGAGAACAGUUGAGGAAAACUGGUGCAUGAAGCUGAAUCUUUUGGCUGCAAAACCUGCCCUCGUUUCUCCUGCAUCCAGCCCAGUCC